GGAGGAAAGCAGGGGAUCGCAAGACCUUGCGCUUUUGGAGCGGCCGAUGUCUGAUUAGCUAGUUGGUGAGGUAAAGGCUUACCAAGGCGUCGAUCAGUAGCUGGUCUGAGAGGACGACCAGCCACACUGGGACUGAGACACGGCCCAGACUCCUACGGGAGGCAGCAGUGGGGAAUUUUGGACAAUGGGGGAAACCCUGAUCCAGCCAUGCCGCGUGAGUGAAGAAGGCCUUCGGGUUGUAAAGCUCUUUCAGCCGGAACGAAACGGUCACAGCUAAUACCUGUGACUACUGACGGUACCGGAAGAAGAAGCACCGGCUAACUACGUGCCAGCAGCCGCGGUAAUACGUAGGGUGCAAGCGUUAAUCGGAAUUACUGGGCGUAAAGCGUGCGCAGGCGGUUUUGUAAGUCAGAUGUGAAAUCCCCGGGCUUAACCUGGGAACUGCGUUUGAAACUACAAAGCUAG
rnacentral:rRNA from 1 species